ensembl:lncRNA
AGAUUGAGAGUCCGUCCUUUCUGCACAAUUUCCAUGCUGGUUAUUUCAUAGCAAAGUAAAUACAGUGGUCAGGAUGAUGACUGACACCUGAUCCAAGACAAUGGGACCCUUCUGAACUCUGCUGUCUUUGAACAACACAUGAAAUACGAAGGAAACUAUUUACCAGCCAGUAAUUGCAAGCCACCCCUCAUGUAAAGCAUCUAACAAGAAACUCCCAUUGACUUCAACAUACCCUGCAGUGCAAGAAGACGACCUGUGGAUAUUACAUGACUAUUUGCUAUUCAGUGAAACUUGAGGGUCCUACUCUCCCACUGCAGGAUGCAUGUAAUACCCAUUGAAAUCAAUGGGAAUUACUCUUAUGUCCUGCAGCACACCAGGCCUCACAGCUACAAGUCAUGAACUAUGAACACUGGCAGGUGGACAAAGUGAGAGAUGUGUUUGAAGACCAAUGCUUACUAAAAGCUGAAACUUUGAAAUUAUCCCUUUUUCUCAUAGCACGUAACUAAUGCAGGAGAUCAUAGCACUUUUCUUCCAAAACUUGAAGUAUUUUGGAAACAAAACAAUGAAUGGAAUAUUUUUUUUUUUCUAGAAAUGGAAACAAACAACUCAAUCUCUUCAGCUUUUUACUUUUGUCUGCUUUUUUGAUCAUUUUCACUCCAUCUUUGAAAAUUAAGAAAAUAGCUAGGAAAAAAAAAAAAGUUUUUCCAAAGAGGACAGAAAGC